GUUAUAGGAUCAAGCGAAUAAGUGCAUGUGGUGGAUGCCUUGGCGAUUACAGGCGAUGAAGGACGUGUAAGCCUGCGAAAAGCUGCGGGGAGCUGGCAAUAGAGCUUUGAUCCGCAGAUGUCCGAAUGGGGAAACCCGGCCCUUUCAGGGUCAUCCCGUGCUGAAUACAUAGGCACGUGGAGGCGAACGCGGCGAACUGAAACAUCUAAGUAGCCGCAGGAAAAGAAAUCAACCGAGAUUCCCAAAGUAGUGGCGAGCGAAAUGGGACCAGCCUGUACGACUAAACCAGAGAUUCAACAAAACGGGAUGGAAAGCCCGGCCAUAGAAGGUGAUAGCCCUGUAUGUGAAGUGUUUCUGGCGGGUCUGAGCGUACGACAAGUAGGGCGGGACACGUGGAAUCCUGUCUGAAUAUGGGGGGACCAUCCUCCAAGGCUAAAUACUCGUAAUCGACCGAUAGUGAACCAGUACCGUGAGGGAAAGGCGAAAAGAACCCCGGGAGGGGAGUGAAAUAGAUCCUGAAACCGCAUGCAUACAAACAGUGGGAGCCUCCUUGAGGGGUGACUGCGUACCUUUUGUAUAAUGGGUCAGCGACUUACGUUCAGUGGCGAGCUUAACCGAAUAGGGGAGGCGUAGCGAAAGCGAGUCUGAUAAGGGCGACUUAGUCGCUGGGCGUAGACCCGAAACCGGAUGAUCUAUCCAUGGCCAGGAUGAAGGUGCCGUAACAGGUACUGGAGGUCCGAACCCACUAACGUUGAAAAGUUAGGGGAUGAGCUGUGGAUAGGGGUGAAAGGCUAAACAAAUCCGGAAAUAGCUGGUUCUCCCCGAAAACUAUUUAGGUAGUGCGUCGUACGGACACUUCCGGGGGUAGAGCACUGUCAUCGUUGGGGGGGUCAUUGCGAUUUACCCCGCGAUAGCAAACUCCGAAUACCGGAAAGUGAUAUACGGCAGACAGACAUCGGGUGCUAACGUCCGGUGUCAAGAGGGAAACAACCCAGACCGCCAGCUAAGGUCCCAAAUGCAUGGCUAAGUGGCAAACGAGGUGGGAAGGCAUAGACAGCUAGGAGGUUGGCUUAGAAGCAGCCACCCUUUAAAGAAAGCGUAAUAGCUCACUAGUCGAGUCGUCCUGCGCGGAAGAUGUAACGGGGCUCAAGCCAUGAACCGAAGCUGCGGAUGUGUCUUUGACACGUGGUAGGGGAGCGUUCCGUAAGCCUGCGAAGGUGUCUCGUAAGGGAUGCUGGAGGUAUCAGAAGUGCGAAUGCUGACAUGAGUAGCGAUAAAGGGAGUGAAAAGCUCCCUCGCCGAAAACCCAAGGUUUCCUGCGCAACGUUCAUCGGCGCAGGGUGAGUCGGCCCCUAAGGCGAGGCAGAAAUGCGUAGUCGAUGGGAAACAGGUCAAUAUUCCUGUACCACUCUUUAAUGCGAUGGGGGGACGGAGAAGGUUAGAUCAGCCGGGUGUUGGACGUCCCGGUUUAAGCGUGUAGUCGUGCCUGGUAGGCAAAUCCGCCGGGCUUAGACGAGGCGUGAUGACGAGGGCUCAUUGAGCCUGAAGUGAUUAAUACCAUGCUUCCAGGAAAAGCCUCUAAGCUUCAGUUAAAGAGUGACCGUACCGCAAACCGACACAGGUGGGUAGGUAGAAAAUACCAAGGCGCUUGAGAGAACUCAGGAGAAGGAACUCGGCAAAUUGACACCGUAACUUCGGGAGAAGGUGUGCCUCUUGUAUGUGAAGCCCCUGCGGGCGGAGCAGAAGGAGGUCUCAGAGAAUCGGUGGCUGCGACUGUUUAUUAAAAACACAGCACUCUGCAAACACGAAAGUGGACGUAUAGGGUGUGACGCCUGCCCGGUGCCGGAAGGUUAAGUGAUGGGGUGCAAGCUCUUGAUCGAAGCCCCGGUAAACGGCGGCCGUAACUAUAACGGUCCUAAGGUAGCGAAAUUCCUUGUCGGGUAAGUUCCGACCUGCACGAAUGGCGUAACGAUGGCCACACUGUCUCCUCCUGAGACUCAGCGAAGUUGAAAUGUUUGUGAAGAUGCAAUCUCCCCGCGGCUAGACGGAAAGACCCCAUGAACCUUUACUGCAGCUUUGCAUUGGACUUUGACGGGAUUUGUGUAGGAUAGGUGGGAGGCUUUGAAGUCGGGACGCUAGUUCCGGUGGAGCCAACCUUGAAAUACCACCCUGGUGUCGUUGAGGUUCUAACCUAGGCCCGUGAAUCCGGGUCGGGGACCGUGCAUGGUAGGCAGUUUGACUGGGGCGGUCUCCUCCCAAAGGGUAACGGAGGAGUACGAAGGUACUCUAGGUACGGUCGGACAUCGCGCUGAUAGUGCAAUGGCAAAAGAGUGCUUGACUGCGAGACCGACAAGUCGAGCAGGUGCGAAAGCAGGUCAUAGUGAUCCGGUGGUUCUGUAUGGAAGGGCCAUCGCUCAACGGAUAAAAGGUACUCUGGGGAUAACAGGCUGAUUCCGCCCAAGAGUUCACAUCGACGGCGGAGUUUGGCACCUCGAUGUCGGCUCAUCACAUCCUGGGGCUGUAGCCGGUCCCAAGGGUAUGGCUGUUCGCCAUUUAAAGUGGUACGUGAGCUGGGUUUAAAACGUCGUGAGACAGUUUGGUCCCUAUCUGCCGUGGGCGUUGGAAGUUUGAGAGGGGCUGCUCCUAGUACGAGAGGACCGGAGUGGACGAACCUCUGGUGUACCGGUUGUCACGCCAGUGGCAUCGCCGGGUAGCUAAGUUCGGAAGAGAUAACCGCUGAAAGCAUCUAAGCGGGAAACUUGCCUCAAGAUGAGACUUCCCCCGUGACUCGAUCACGCUAAAGGGUCGUUCAAGACCAGGACGUUGAUAGGCUGGGUGUGGAAGCGCAGUAAUGCGUUAAGCUAACCAGUACUAAUUGCCCGUGAGGCUUGAUCCUAUAACCUU
rnacentral:rRNA from 1 species